GUAUCGAUAGUUCAGUGGCAGAGCGGUGGGGCGUUUACCCAUGCGGCCCGGGUUCGAUUCCCGGUCGAUGUA